CAGAACGAUCUCUACAUUGUAGGCAAAUCGUUCGACUAAACUUCAGAUGUCGUUGGAUUGAAUUAUGAAGAUUUGCAUCCAUCAAAACUUGGAUCUUUAAGAAGGGUUCAAAGUGUCGAAAUUUGACACUUUUGGAGGAACUAGAAAUCUGUUGGCUCAUUUGAGGGCUUAUUGUGACCAGCUCGUAGGAGUUGGAAGAAAUGGAGUUUUGUUUAUGCGGCUCUUUAGUCAAAGUUUUAACGGGGAAGCGUUAGAACGGUUCACUUACCAGGAGAUGAAGCAAUGGUCCAGUUGGAACACACUCGCCAAGGAUUUUUUCAAACAAUUUGCCUACAAUGUAGAGAUCGUUUUGGACC
rnacentral:pre_miRNA from 1 species